rnacentral:rRNA from 1 species
CCCUUAGAUGUUCGGGGCCGCACGCGCGCUACACUGAAGGAAUCAGCACGUCUUUCUCCUUGUCCGAAAGGACUGGGUAACCCGCUGAACCUCCUUCGUGCUAGGGAUUGGGGCUUGUAAUUCUUCCUCAUGAACGAGGAAUUCCCAGUAAGCGCGAGUCAUAAGCUCGCGUUGAUUACGUCCCUGCCCUUUGUACACACCGCCCGUCGCUACUACCGAUUGGAUGGUUUAGUGAGAUCCUCGGAUUGGUCCCGGCGCGGCCUCUGGUCGUGCCGGAGUGCCGAAAAGAAUGUCGAACUUGAUCAUCUAGAGGAAGUAAAAGUCGUAACA